rnacentral:rRNA from 1 species
GAUGAACGCUGGCGGCGUGCCUAAUACAUGCAAGUCGAGCGAACAGACGAGGAGCUUGCUCCUCUGACGUUAGCGGCGGACGGGUGAGUAACACGUGGAUAACCUACCUAUAAGACUGGGAUAACUUCGGGAAACCGGAGCUAAUACCGGAUAAUAUAUUGAACCGCAUGGUUCAAUAGUGAAAGACGGUUUUGCUGUCACUUAUAGAUGGAUCCGCGCCGCAUUAGCUAGUUGAUAAGGUAACGGCUUACCAAGGCGACGAUGCGUAGCCGACCUGAGAGGGUGAUCGGCCACACUGGAACUGAGACACGGUCCAGACUCCUACGGGAGGCAGCAGUAGGGAAUCUUCCGCAAUGGGCGAAAGCUUGACGGAGCAACGCCGCGUGAGUGAUGAAGGUCUUCGGAUCGUAAAACUCUGUUAUUAGGGAAGAACAAAUGUGUAAGUAACUAUGCACGUCUUGACGGUACCUAAUCAGAAAGCCACGGCUAACUACGUG